rnacentral:lncRNA from 1 species
CCUCUUAUCCAACAACAAACACACACAGCAACUUCAACAAACGAACAAUUUAACAAGCAACCACAAUUUCAACGCUCAACGAAACAACAACGGAAAAAAACAACUCAGCAACAUUCAUACAAUUUCAGAUAAACCUUUAUCUCAAAUUUUGAAAUUCAACUAUCAAUUCAUUUUCCUUUUUUACCCCUCCGUUUUUCUCCCAAAAUCAGUCCCAAUUCUCCUAUAAACACCCAUGUUUGUAGAAGAAGGAGGGAGGAUUUUUUGGAGAAAAAUUGAGAAUUUUGAAGUAGCAUUCCUCUAAUCUCACGUAACCAAAAAUUCACAGCGAAAAACAAUUGAUUCCAGUGAAAUCACGCAAGUUUCAAGGAAGUUAGCUUGAGUUCCGGUGAAAUGGAGUGAAACUCCGGUGGUGAAAACCUCAUCGUUAUAGGCUCGUCGUCAUAGUUUGCUGCCUGAAAAAGUUGUGAACCCGUCCCCUUCUUGUUUUGUUUUCGCCUUCUUUUCUUCAUCUAUUUUUUAUUUUGUUGAAUAUAAGAGUUAUUUUGAUUGCAAGCUGUG